AUGUUUGCUCGUGCCUCGGGAGCAUCUCAAUUCUGGAAAAACCUUGUUAAACUCAGGCCCCUUUUUCAAAGCCUCGUCAAAUUCGUUGUCCGCAAUGGUAGAUCCACCAGAUUCUGGCUCGAUUGGUGGUGCGGACCUUCCUCGCUGGCUAUUGCUUUCCCUAUUCUUUUCUCUUACUACCCGGACCCUGAGAUCUCUAUUUUUGAGCUUGCGUCGAAUAAUUGGGAUCUGCGACUGUGUCGCUCUCUCGCUCCUGUAGAGUUGGAAGACUGGCAGCGUCUUGUUGCUCUCUUCCCUUCGCUCUCGGAGGAGGAUGACACGGUCGUUUGGCCCCAUUCCCCUUCUGGUCGGUUCUCGGUUAAAUCCUUACAUGGCAAACUCAUUGUUGGGUCCAUCACUUCCAAAUUCAAAUGGAUCUGGAGGGCUCGUAUUCCUCCUAAGGUCAAGGUUUUCCUUUGGCAAGCCUCUCGUGGGCGUCUGCCGACGGGUGACCAAAUUCGCAAGCGCAAUGGCCCGGGAUCUGAUAGAUGUGCUUUAUGUGGGUUGAGAGAAGACUCGUCACAUAUUUUCUUCAACUGUGUGUUGGCUAAGCUGUUCUGGUGCUGUAUCAGAUGA
rnacentral:rRNA from 1 species